AGAGUUUGAUCCUGGCUCAGGAUGAACGCUGGCGGCGUGCCUAAUACAUGCAAGUCGAGCGAACGGACGAGAAGCUUGCUUCUCUGAUGUUAGCGGCGGACGGGUGAGUAACACGUGGAUAACCUACCUAUAAGACUGGGAUAACUUCGGGAAACCGGAGCUAAUACCGGAUAAUAUUUUGAACCGCAUGGUUCAAAAGUGAAAGACGGUCUUGCUGUCACUUAUAGAUGGAUCCGCGCUGCAUUAGCUAGUUGGUAAGGUAACGGCUUACCAAGGCAACGAUGCAUAGCCGACCUGAGAGGGUGAUCGGCCACACUGGAACUGAGACACGGUCCAGACUCCUACGGGAGGCAGCAGUAGGGAAUCUUCCGCAAUGGGCGAAAGCCUGACGGAGCAACGCCGCGUGAGUGAUGAAGGUCUUCGGAUCGUAAAACUCUGUUAUUAGGGAAGAACAUAUGUGUAAGUAACUGUGCACAUCUUGACGGUACCUAAUCAGAAAGCCACGGCUAACUACGUGCCAGCAGCCGCGGUAAUACGUAGGUGGCAAGCGUUAUCCGGAAUUAUUGGGCGUAAAGCGCGCGUAGGCGGUUUUUUAAGUCUGAUGUGAAAGCCCACGGCUCAACCGUGGAGGGUCAUUGGAAACUGGAAAACUUGAGUGCAGAAGAGGAAAGUGGAAUUCCAUGUGUAGCGGUGAAAUGCGCAGAGAUAUGGAGGAACACCAGUGGCGAAGGCGACUUUCUGGUCUGUAACUGACGCUGAUGUGCGAAAGCGUGGGGAUCAAACAGGAUUAGAUACCCUGGUAGUCCACGCCGUAAACGAUGAGUGCUAAGUGUUAGGGGGUUUCCGCCCCUUAGUGCUGCAGCUAACGCAUUAAGCACUCCGCCUGGGGAGUACGACCGCAAGGUUGAAACUCAAAGGAAUUGACGG
rnacentral:rRNA from 1 species